CAAUAAACCCGGUAGCAACGGAAAUCCUUUUUAUUGCAUAAGCGUAAUCACCUCCUAUUCUUGCUGCUGGUUGCGUAAAAUUUGCAAUAAAAAGAUUGGAGUGUAUAACGGGGCUGCAG
rnacentral:sRNA from 1 species